CAAGAGCAGCUUGUGCCUUGAGAAUCUGCAAGCCAGUUUGUAUCAUCAGUCAGGCUCCACAGCAGUGCCCAGCAGCCAGGACCAGCAAUUGCAAGGAAAGUGCUGCUCAGCCCUGGCAUGGAGCAUGCUCGGUUGCUCUGUGGUGCUGCUGCAGGGCAUGGUGAUCCUCCGUGGGACCAAGGGGCCUUUACACUCAGCGUCUCCACCUAGUGGCUGGGUCAGCCACUGGCUAGUCAGCCCCUACAACCUCUGGCGUGUCGCACUUUAUUGUUAGGGGAACCCAGAACCAGCAGAUAAUGAAGAGAAACAACGUUUAUUCCCAGAAAAGAUGGGGGUGAAUUAAAAGAAGGAAACGGGGCCCGACUCGUAACCAACCCACCACACCGCUCUAAGUACCAAAUGCCACAAACAGAGUAGCAAGGCCGCCUUGCCCUGGCGCCUCCCCACAGCCUCAGCUGGCUGGUGGAGUGGGAGCUCCAGGAGAGGGGCUGGGAUCCCUUCUCUCUCUUCUGGGUGCAGUGGGUCCCUGGUGGAGUCAAGCCCUGGCUGCCCCUGGCUAAGGGUUGCCAACUUUCUCAUCACACAAGAGGGAACACGCUAGCUCUGCCCCUUCCCCAAGGUCCCACCCCCUGCUCACAUUCCCUCUCCCUCUGGGGCUGGCUCUCCCCCA